rnacentral:tRNA from 1 species
AGGGGAUUAGUCAAGCGGUUAAGACCCGGCACUUUGACUGCCGCAUUCAGGAGUUCGAAUCUCUUAUCCCCUGCCA